AACCGUGGUAAUUCUAUGGCUAAUACAUGCGCAAAUACUAUAUCACUCGGGGGUAUAGUAGUGUUUAUUAGAUACAGAACCAAUACACCUUUUUUAAAGGGUGUAGAAAAAGGUGAUUCAUAGUAACCGAACGGAUCGCAUUAUAAUCAUUUCGAUGAUUGGCGAUAGAUCAUUCAAGUUUCUGACCUAUCAGCUUUCGACGGUAGUGUAUUGGACUACCGUGGCAGUGACGGGUAACGGGGAAUUAGGGUUCGAUUCCGGAGAGGGAGCCUGAGAAACGGCUACCACAUCUAAGGAAGGCAGCAGGCGCGCAAAUUACCCAAUCCUGACUCAGGGAGGUAGUGACAAGAAAUAACAACACUGGAAAUUCUAUUUCUAGUGAUUGGAAUGAUGGGAAUCCAAACCCCUUUCAGAGUAACAAUUGGAGGGCAAGUCUGGUGCCAGCAGCCGCGGUAAUUCCAGCUCCAAUAGCGUAUAUUAAAGUUGUUGCAGUUAAAAAGCUCGUAGUUGGAUAUCUGCUGGAAGCAAUCAGUCCGCCCUUUUAGUGAGGGUGUGUACUUGAUGAAUUCUGGCA
rnacentral:rRNA from 1 species